AAGAACUCUAAAAAGUAAUUAAAAACUUGCAAUAAUCCAAGGAGCAUUUAUUCAAGAAAAAUAGCUAAACCCUGGUAAAAAGGGAAACAUUUGAACUUGCCCUAUUUCCAUCCCCCACCUCUAAAACACUAGAAAGAAGCGAUGUAGCAAACAACCCUGCCACGUUCCCAACUUUAGUGAGAAUGCCUCUACAGUGUUUUGCAGUUAAGGGAUAUUCUAUUGUUUGUUAGGCAAUAUCCAAAGUCCCAUUAUAUUGCUGGGUUUUUAAAAAUCCUUUUCCCACUGCACUUUUAUCUUAAAUCAGGUGACUGUAUCUAUGUAGGACUUUUUCUAGACUUUCUAAUCUGUUCCAUGGAUCUUUUUUUUUUUUUUUUAAUCCAUGCACCAAUACCAUUGUGUUGUCAUUACUACAGCUUUAAAAUAGCCUGACAUCUGAUAGUAAAAGAUAUUUCAACUUUGUUCUUCAAUGUUGCCUUGUCUAUUAUGGACCUUUUCCAUUCCCCUAUGAAUUUUAGAAUCAGCUUGUCACGUUCAAGGAAAAUGGAUCUACUGAGAUCUUUAAAAGUUAGGAUUACAUUGAAUCCAUAAGUUGAAGUCUUUACAAUACCGAAUCCUCUCUCUGAAGCUUUUAUCCAACUCAGUUGGUAUAGCUUUUGUUAUGGUUUUGAUAUGAGGUGCUCCUCCAAAAGCUCACACAUGAGAUGAUACAAGAAUGUUCAGUGGUG
rnacentral:lncRNA from 1 species